CGGGUGAGUAAUACAUAAGUAACCUGCCCUAGACAGGGGGAUAACUAUUGGAAACGAUAGCUAAGACCGCAUAGGUACGGACACUGCAUGGUGACCGUAUUAAAAGUGCCUCAAAGCACUGGUAGAGGAUGGACUUAUGGCGCAUUAGCUGGUUGGCGGGGUAACGGCCCACCAAGGCGACGAUGCGUAGCCGACCUGAGAGGGUGACCGGCCACACUGGGACUGGGACACGGCCCAG
rnacentral:rRNA from 1 species